CUCUGUGCACACCCAGUCCGGGCCUCGUCCCGCCCCCACACUCUGCCCGGAGGCCUCAGCUUUUCCACCGCUGCUUUCGAGUCCUUUAAAUCCUAGAGGCAAACUUUUGGGGGAUAAGGAAGGCUUGGGAGGGGCCUGCGCCUUAACCCUCUCUGCCCCAGACGGACUGAGGUGGCCUGGUCGGUGACUCCGCGGCCCGUUUGGGUUCCUACCAUGGCCCCCGAGAGGGGCUGACACUUCGGUCCCCGGUGCAGGUGAGAACCGCCCGGAAGAAGAAGGAAGAAGGCCUCGGAGGCGGAGGUGGGCUCCGAACCAAGGAGGGGGGGGGUCCCCCAGUCUAAGCCUGAGAGCGCGCCUGCCCCACUCAGCGAGGACCAAGAGGGCCUCCGAAGACGCCGUUUCCCGCCACCAUCUGCCGUCCUGUCGUUUGGGAGAGCAUCCUCUGAACCGCUGUCUAGGCCCAGGGUGGGGACGUGGGCUGGGUCGCCCCCUCCGGGCGGAGGCGGCGCUGACCCGUCCCCACCCCGACCCCAU